UAGUACUUGCACCACUGUUCUAUGGAAUGGAAGGACCCAAGCCCAGCAGUCCUCGUCUUCGCCCGAACUGCCCUACAUCCGCGUUGAUAUGUGCCCGACGAGCCCUGCAUUGCGGUGCUAACCCGUCCCAUCCUUCCAUUCCACAGACUCCACGCGUAGACAUUGGCCUGUUGCAUUUCACACCCAAUUUCCAACAUUAAUCGCUCGGUUUUAACCAGCCGGGAUGGCUAUAGCAAUAGCCAUCCUUCUGCUUUUUUAAACUAAAAAAGAAGAAAAGAAAGCAAAUUCCACUCCUCCAACCAGGAAAUGGUUUUAUUUUUCACGCAGUUUUUGUUUUUUUGAUAGGCGUUUUUCGUAACCUUCGAAGAGCAUGUGAUGUAAAACGGAAUAAC
rnacentral:sRNA from 1 species